GGCAAGGUGGCCGAGUGGUUAUGGCGUUGGUUUUAGGUUUAACUAUCCAAUCACCAAUUCGAAAGAGCGUGGGUUCGAAUCCCAUCCUUGUCA
rfam:Aspergillus luchuensis DNA, map: 4-1 F, contig: AA1_SCon_008, strain: RIB 2604.